rnacentral:tRNA from 1 species
GCGUUGGUGGUUCAGUGGUAGAAUUCCCGCCUGCCACGCGGAAGACCGGGGUUCCAUUCCCCGCCAACGCA